CUCCAGAAUUCUAUUCCUGGAGCUUACUCCUUCCGGCCUGUUGGGAGAGCUGGAGAUCUACUGAAGAAGAUGACCAAGAGGUGGCAGGGGUCCUGACCUCACAUCCCUCGAUGGCUGAGACAACAUCUAAGAGCCUGAGUGUUCAUCAGCAUCACAAAUACAGUGGCGUCACCUGGCGUCACCUUCCCAUCGGUCCCAGGAGCUGUGAGGUACCACCAAGGACAAAGCAGUAUGCCCAUCCUUGGACCACCCUGGCCUCCUAACCUCCAGGCGAGACCUCAGACCUGCAGAGUACAACUGAACCGUCCCAGUGGUGGCUACAUCAGCACUUCCAGCCCAGAGGAUAGGAACAAAGGUGCUGUAGUGGCAAUCAAUCUGUGACUAUCUUUCAGCACUCCUAUAAUGCUGAACAUGGCCCAUAGCAGAAUCCAAACUAAAGCAGGCAUCAAGAAUACCAGUUCCCAUGCACACAGACAGGGGCUUUAGAUUGGAGAAAAAAAGGCAAAGCCCCCACUAUUCAUCUUAUAUAUCUCUUUUAUUGUAGAGGAACUUGGUUAGGAGAAUUCUUGUGGGUUAAACAUAGGUCCCACCAAAAAAAAAUAAAAAAAUAAAAAAAAAACUUCAUCAA